UGGAGAUGGAGGAGAUGGAGGAAGUGAACGUGUCAUUGGGGGCCCUGCCCUCUCCCCCCCAACCCCCCACCAGUCAGACAGUAUGCUGAUCAAGUGGUACCAGUGGAAGAUCUUGCUACUCUCAGAAAAGGGAGGAGGAAGGAAGACUGGACCUGAGAGGAUGGUGGAGGAACCUAAGUAAUGAGUCAACCGGUAACUAGAAUUUUCACUCCAGAAUGGCUGAACAAAUGAUGGUAUAAUUAUUGCAAUCGUAAGUAAUGACAGAAGACAUGAAUUCAGGGAGAAGACCUGAGAAGACUCGUCUGAACUUACUUGAAGCCAAGUGAGCAGAAUUAGGAAAACAAUUUAUACCAUAACAACAUAAACAACUAACUAAAUAAAUAACAAACCUUUGAAAGACUUAUUAAAUCUGGUCAAUGUAGUAACUUACUAGAAUUCCAGAGGGGCAGUGAUGAAGUGUGCUGACUGCCUCCUGGUGCAGAGGUCAUCGACUCAAGAUAUAGAAUGAGACCUAGAGUUUUGGACACCACCAGUGUGAGCCUUUGCUUUGCUUGCUUAUGCCUAUCGGUUACAAGGGUGUUGUUUUUGUUUUCGUUGGGGAGAGGGAUUUGGUGGGAGAGUAUGGUGAAUGGUAAUGCUGCCAGAAAAAAAGAAAAGAGAUAAAAGAAGAUAUUGAAGCAUUUUGGAAAAUUGCACAGAAGGAAGUUCAGAAGGUGACACAGAUAAGCAGGUCAGCUUGAAAAUAACAUGUUGAAUUUAUUAUAUAGAAAUUUGCAGUUUUGCAUAUUAUCUUCUUUUUCUGUUCUACUUUUUAAAAAUGUAAAAUUUAUUUUAAAAAAACCCCUCAAGAAUCCCCCUCCUAGUUGUAGCUGUGAAAGGUGCCUGAUGCCAUUUUCUUCUAUGUUUUUUUUUUUUUUAUUGUAUGGCCUUUCGUAUGCAGGUCAUGUAUC